rnacentral:rRNA from 1 species
AUAGAAUCCGACUGCCUGGAGGUCGUUAAUCUCUGGAACUCGCGUCAUGAUGAUAGGACUGUUGUGGCACCCAUCCUGUCCGAAAUUUUGGAGCACUCUACUAGUUUUAAGUCUUUCUGUAUUCAAUAUAUUUCGAGAACAGCCAACUACCCUGCUCACCUAUGUGCUAGAUAUGCAAGCACACUGGAUGUAACAGAAUGUUGGUUUGACUCUGCCCUGGUAUCAUUGUAA